rnacentral:rRNA from 1 species
UACGUAGGGUGCGAGCGUUAAUCGGAAUUACUGGGCGUAAAGCGUGCGUAGACGGUUACAUAAGUCGGAUGUGAAAGCCCUGGGCUUAACCUGGGAACUGCAUUCGAUACUGCCCGGCUAGAGUAUGGGAGAGGGAAGCGGAAUUUCCGGUGUAGCGGUGAAAUGCGUAGAUAUCGGAAGGAACACCAAUGGCGAAGGCAGCUUCCUGGCCCAAUACUGACGCUCAGGUGCGAAAGCGUGGGGAUCAAACAGG